AAAGCAGUUUAGCCAAGUAUGAGUGAGUGCCUUCAUUGUAAAGUUGAUUCUUCCCUCUUUUUUAAAGAAUAAAGAUGCUUCCAACUAUUGCUGGGUUUUGAUGCAUUUCACCAACUUCCAAUUUUUGUAUAUGUAGUAGGCUCUAGUAUAAAUUUUCUUCAGUCCUGAUCAUACAAGCUUAAUAUAUAAUAGAGGAAGGAUGAACUAAAAUUU
rnacentral:misc_RNA from 1 species